rnacentral:tRNA from 1 species
GCCGGGGUCGCCUAGUGGUGGCGGCAGCCUGCUAAGCUGUUGGGCCCAAAAGGUCCUCGUGGGUUCGAAUCCCGCCCCCGGCG